UAGGGAAUCUUCGGCAAUGGACGAAAGUCUGACCGAGCAACGCCGCGUGAGUGAAGAAGGUUUUCGGAUCGUAAAACUCUGUUGGUAGAGAAGACGUUGGUGAGAGUGGAAAGCUCAUCAAGUGACGGUAACUACCCAGAAAGGGACGGCUAACUACGUGCCAU
rnacentral:rRNA from 1 species